rnacentral:rRNA from 1 species
UACGUAGGUGGCAAGCGUUGUCCGGAAUUAUUGGGCGUAAAGCGCGCGCAGGCGGUCCUUUAAGUCUGAUGUGAAAGCCCACGGCUCAACCGUGGAGGGUCAUUGGAAACUGGGGGACUUGAGUGCAGGAGAGAAGAGUGGAAUUCCACGUGUAGCGGUGAAAUGCGUAGAUAUCAGGAGGAACACCAAUGGCGAAGGCAGCUCGCUGGAACGGUACUGACGCUGAGGCGCGAAAGCGUGGGGAGCAAACAGGA